rnacentral:rRNA from 1 species
UACGUAGGGGGCUAGCGUUGUUCGGAAUUACUGGGCGUAAAGCGCACGUAGGCGGCUUUGUAAGUUAGAGGUGAAAGCCCGGAGCUCAACUCCGGAAUUGCCUUUAAGACUGCAUCGCUAGAAUUGUGGAGAGGUGAGUGGAAUUCCGAGUGUAGAGGUGAAAUUCGUAGAUAUUCGGAAGAACACCAGUGGCGAAGGCGACUCACUGGACACAUAUUGACGCUGAGGUGCGAAAGCGUGGGGAGCAAACAGG